rnacentral:rRNA from 1 species
CGGCCUUGACAUACUAAGAACUUUCCAGAGAUGGAUUGGUGCCUUCGGGAACUUAGAUACAGGUGCUGCAUGGCUGUCGUCAGCUCGUGUCGUGAGAUGUUGGGUUAAGUCCCGNAACGAGCGCAACCCUUUUCCUAUUUGCCAGCGGGUCAUGCCGGGAACUUUAAGGAUACUGCCAGUGACAAACUGGAGGAAGGCGGGGACGACGUCAAGUCAUCAUGGCCCUUACGGCCAGGGCUACACACGUGCUACAAUGGUCGGUACAAAGGGUUGCUACCUCGCGAGAGGAUGCUAAUCUCAAAAAGCCGAUCGUAGUCCGGAUCGCAGUCUGCAACUCGACUGCGUGAAGUCGGAAUCGCUAGUAAUCGCGGAUCAGAAUGCCGCGGUGAAUACGUUCCCGGGCCUUGUACACACCGCCCGUCACGCCAUGGGAGUUUGUUGCACCAGAAGUAGGUAGUCUAACCGCAAGGAGGACGCUUACCACGGUGUGGCCGAUGACUGGGGUGAAGUCGUAACAAGGUAGGCGUAGAUGA